rnacentral:tRNA from 1 species
GCCUUCGUGGUUUAACGGUAGCACACUCGGUAGCGUAUUCCAGAGGUCCAGGUUCGAGUCCCGGUGAGGGCA